GCAAAGCAUCACUCGCAAUUCGCCACAAACGAUCAGCAGGAUGCACAAGAAUUCACAUCCUACCUCCUCGACAUACUGCACGAAGACGUCAACCUUAUACUCAAGAAACCUUACGUCGAAAACUUAAGCGACGAAUGGUGCAUGCAACACACGGUCAACGAAAUCGGGUUGGAAAAUUGGCGCCGAUUUUUACGACGCAAUAAGAGCAUUCUGACC
rnacentral:ribozyme from 1 species